UUGAAUAAACUUGGUUGGGUUGUUGCUGGCUCUCAGGAGCAUGUGCACGCUCAUUCCAUUUUUACCCACCUGUGCACACACUGUAGGCUUGAAUGARCUUUUCGUAGGAACUCGGUUUGAGAAYUGCUAGAAGCUGYKCUURCAUUCYAGGWCUAUGU
rnacentral:misc_RNA from 1 species